rnacentral:lncRNA from 1 species
AUGUCGGUUAUUGACACGUACGGACGCUCACUUCGAUAUCAUAGUACACGGAACGCAAACUUGAAACAAGUCUUGAGCCGGUGAUACAUGAUUGGAUGCAAUGAUUACCUUUCUUACGUCACACGCAACACGCUUCCGCAACUAGCAGGGUGUGACAUAUAGACCAAGGGUGAAGAAGAGAAAAGGGAGGUGUGUAUCAAUGGUAGUAAGUUGCGUAAUUUAGGGUUCUUCAUCUGGAUUUGCAGUGCAAAAAGUGGAGGAUGAGUACUGGAGAAGAUGAUGGGAAUUUAGGGGUUUUGUGAU